rnacentral:snoRNA from 1 species
CUGAGGGUGAGUCUCGAAGAAUGAAUUGUUUUAGACCCACAUUGUUGGAAACGCCUCCUAGAGUCACUGUGGCUUGCUUUACUCACAGAACUGCUACUAGUUGGAUCUGUGAGGAAGACCUACAAGACAAAC